rnacentral:tRNA from 1 species
GGCCUAGUGGCGAAGUGGAAACGCGCUUGUCUGCAAAACAAGCAUUGCAUCGGUUCGAUUCCGAUCUAGGCCU